rnacentral:rRNA from 1 species
UACGGAGGGUGCGAGCGUUAUCCGGAAUUACUGGGUUUAAAGGGUGCGUAGGCGGCUUGUUAAGUCAGGAGUGAAAGUUUGCGGCUCAACCGUAAAAUUGCUUUUGAUACUGGCAGGCUAGAAUUAGGAUGAGGUUAGCGGAAUGUGGCAUGUAGCGGUGAAAUGCAUAGAUAUGCCAUAGAACACCAAUUGCGAAGGCAGCUGGCUAGACCUAUAUUGACGCUGAGGCACGAAAGCGUGGGGAGCGAACAGG